AGUGAACGCUGGCGGUAGGCCUAACACAUGCAAGUCGAACGGCAGCACAGGAGAGCUUGCUCUCUGGGUGGCGAGUGGCGGACGGGUGAGGAAUACAUCGGAAUCUACUCUGACGUGGGGGAUAACGUAGGGAAACUUACGCUAAUACCGCAUACGACCUACGGGUGAAAGCAGGGGACCUUCGGGCCUUGCGCGAUUGAAUGAGCCGAUGUCGGAUUAGCUAGUUGGCGGGGUAAAGGCCCACCAAGGCGACGAUCCGUAGCUGGUCUGAGAGGAUGAUCAGCCACACUGGAACUGAGACACGGUCCAGACUCCUACGGGAGGCAGCAGUGGGGAAUAUUGGACAAUGGGCGCAAGCCUGAUCCAGCCAUACCGCGUGGGUGAAGAGGGCCUUCGGGUUGUAAAGCCCUUUUGUUGGGAAAGAAAUCCAGCUGGCUAAUACCCGGUUGGGAUGACGGUACCCAAAGAAUAAGCACCGGCUAACUUCGUGCCAGCAGCCGCCGUAA
rnacentral:rRNA from 1 species